UCUCAGGGUCGUGAGUUCAAGCCCCUGGUUGGGUAUGAAGCCUACUUCAAAAAACACACACAACAACAGGACAGAUAUUGUAUGAUUCCACUCAUAUGAAAUACUUAGUCAAUUCACAGAGACAGUGGAAUGGUGGCUACCAGGGACUGGAGGGAGGAGGGAAUGGGAAGUUAAUGUUGAGUGUAUAUAGAGCUUCAGUUUUGCCAGAUGAAGAGAGUCAUGGUGAUGGAUGGUGGUGAUGGUGGCACAACCAGGUGAAUGUGCUUAGUGCCAUGGAACUGUACAUUUAAAAAUGAUUUAAAUAGUAAAUAGGCAUAGCAGCAUUAUUCACAGUAGCAAAAUAUUAAAAACAACCCGCACAUCCUUCGGCAGGUGAAUUGUUAAACUUCGGUACAGCCGUACGGUGAACAUUAAGCAAUAACCAGGCAUCAACUAUUGAUACAGAUGGGUUUCAGCUUAAGGAGAUUCAUGGGAAGGACUUUUGACAAAUACGGGUCUCUCAUACCAGUAAGAUGAUAAAGCCAAACUGAGUAAGAACUUCUGGAACUAACAGGAAAUCCAUUCAAACAGAGCAAGAAUUAGUAACAUGGGACUGAAUGAAUUGAGGAAGAUAAUUACUCUUGUUGAAACGCUGCUGGUUCUCUAAUGUUUGCUCUUCCAGAUUUAAGGAAAGUGUUUUUCUCUUAAGCUAUUAUGACUUGCAGAAAUUUGGUAGAAUAAUCCCUUUGUAAACAAACAUGAUACAUUUAUCUUUUUCUCCCCACCUGAUCCCUCCAGAUUCGGAAACUCUCAGUGAGUAUUCUUAUAUUUUCAUGGCAAUGUAUGUAUUUGUAUACGUUCAGUAAGAAUCUGUUCUUAGGACAGGACACAUUUGGAAACAUUGGUUAUAUUAUCAGGGCUUUGACUGGACUAUCAUAUUUGAGGGAGACGUGCAUUGACUCAGAUAUGAGCAGACAGCUUUAAGGAACUAAAGCUGACGUUUUGGAGCCAAUGAAGUGCCUUGGAAAAAUCAGCUUUGUACUUACUUACAGAGUUCCCAGGAGGUCAUUUUCUGGCAGGUGCAGGAACCUCAGGAUAUUUUAGGGACCUCAAGAAGAGAGGAACUUACCCGAAUCUAUAGGUAUUGCAGACAGAGUCUGAUGGCAAGUACUUGGCUUGGCUUCUUAGCCCUGAGAGGCUAUUAAAAGUUCAGUCUGAAAUUCUUUGAGAAGUUCCAGCAAAGCAGAUU